rnacentral:misc_RNA from 1 species
GAAAUGCGAUAAGUAGUGUGAAUUGCAGAAUUUAGCGAAUCAUCGAAUCUUUGAACGCACAUUGCGCCCCUUGGUAUUCCAUGGGGCAUGCCUGUUCGAGCGUCAUUUCAACCCUCAAGCACUGCUUGGUGUUGGGCGUUUGUCCCGCCCCCGCGCGUGGACUCACCUCAAAUCCAUUGGCGGCCCCCGCAUGGCCACGAGCGCAGCAGAAACGCAAACUCGUGUGCCGGACCGGGCGGCUCCCAGAAGCUACACUCACCAUUUUGACCUCGGAUCAGGUAGGGAUACCCGCUGAACUUAAGC